rnacentral:rRNA from 1 species
GCUCAACCGAAGAAGUGCAUCGGAAACUGGGAAACUUGAGUGCAGAAGAGGACAGUGGAACUCCAUGUGUAGCGGUGAAAUGCGUAGAUAUAUGGAAGAACACCAGUGGCGAAGGCGGCUGUCUGGUCUGUAACUGACGCUGAGGCUCGAAAGUAUGGGUAGCAAACAGGAUUAGAUACCCUGGUAGUCCAUACCGUAAACGAUGAAUGCUAAGUGUUGGAGGGUUUCCGCCCUUCAGUGCUGCAGCUAACGCAUUAAGCAUUCCGCCUGGGGAGUACGGCCGCAAGGCUGAAACUCAAAGGAAUUGACGGGGGCCCGCACAAGCGGUGGAGCAUGUGGUUUAAUUCGAAGCUACGCGAAGAACCUUACCAGGUCUUGACAUACUAUGCAAAUCUAAGAGAUUAGACGUUCCCUUCGGGGACAUGGAUACAGGUGGUGCAUGGUUGUCGUCAGCUCGUGUCGUGAGAUGUUGGGUUAAGUCCCGCAACGAGCGCAACCCUUAUUAUCAGUUGCCAUCAUUAAGUUGGGCACUCUAACGAGACUGCCGGUGAUAAACCGGAGGAAGGUGGGGAUGACGUCAAAUCAUCAUGCCCCUUAUGACCUGGGCUACACACGUGCUACAAUGGAUGGUACAACG